ACUAGGUUGAGGGCGCUUAUGGCUCGACAGUGCAGUCUUAUGGAAAAUUGAAAGGACCGCUUGAAGAUUAGCUUCAAAGCUUGAACUUUCACUUUCAAUAUAGUCAAAAGAAACACAGAUGGCGUCACUCCAGAAUCUGCAUUGAUUGUUUUGAAGUGAAGGGACUUUGCCUACUAACUAGGAGCUUCAGUCACAUGAAGAAGUGGCUGCCUUCACGACUAACAAGGAUUUGAGAGGUUGACAAAAACUACAGGGAAUGCUCUGAAAUUACUGAGCAGGUGAAGCCAUGCAAAGAAUUUGCCAGUAAAAUAUAAUAAGAGAGAAUUACUGGGAGGAAAAGAAAAUAAACUCCUUACCCCAACCAAAGACUGAGCGCUUUGCACCCUUACCACCAGCAACACUACAUUGUCGAAGUAUAAAGAAACAAUUUGGGUGGUGAUCUAGCUUUUUUUGCUGCUGAAAUUCGGUCUCCACUUCACCUCAGCAAAGGAUGAUAGCAAUAUUGAGUCAAGUCUUGUGUUGUGUUGAAGGACGAGCACUGGAAGAAGAAAAUAUUAUUGGAGUACCAGUAGUUGUAUAUACAGUUAAAACAUUUGUGAUUUUUUGGUUGAUACAUAGUUUCUGUUAUAUAAUAUUAUAUGUUUGCACUUUGGUUAAGAUUUCUGAAUA